AGAGGAAGUAAAAGUCGUAACAAGGUUUCCGUAGGUGAACCUGCGGAAGGAUCAUUAAAGAGACGUUGCCCUUCGGGGUAUACCUCCCACCCUUUGUUUAUUAUACCUUUGUUGCUUUGGCGGGCCCGUCCUCGGACCACCGGCUUCGGCUGGUCAGUGCCCGCCAGAGGACCUAAAACUCUGUUUGUUCAUAUUGUCUGAGUACUAUAUAAUAGUUAAAACUUUCAACAACGGAUCUCUUGGUUCUGGCAUCGAUGAAGAACGCAGCGAAAUGCGAUAAGUAAUGUGAAUUGCAGAAUUCAGUGAAUCAUCGAAUCUUUGAACGCACAUUGCGCCCCCUGGUAUUCCGGGGGGCAUGCCUGUUCGAGCGUCAUUACAACCCUCAAGCUCUGCUUGGUAUUGGGCUCUGCCGGUCCCGGCAGGCCUUAAAAUCAGUGGCGGUGCCAUUCGGCUUCAAGCGUAGUAAUUCUUCUCGCUUUGGAGACCCGGGUGCGUGCUUGCCAGCAACCCCCAAUUUUUU
rnacentral:rRNA from 1 species